rnacentral:rRNA from 1 species
UACGUAGGGUGCAAGCGUUAAUCGGAAUUACUGGGCGUAAAGCGUGCGCAGGCGGUUUUUUAAGUCUGUUGUGAAAUCCCCGGGCUUAACCUGGGAAUGGCAAUGGAGACUGCAAGGCUAGAGUUUGGCAGAGGGGGGUAGAAUUCCACGUGUAGCAGUGAAAUGCGUAGAGAUGUGGAGGAACACCGAUGGCGAAGGCAGCCCCCUGGGUCAAGACUGACGCUCAUGCACGAAAGCGUGGGGAGCAAACAGG